rnacentral:rRNA from 1 species
CUACGGGUUGCACCAGUGAGGAAUAUUGCACAAUGGGGGGAACCCUGAUGCAGCAACGCCGCGUGGAGGAUGACGCAUUUCGGUGUGUAAACUCCUUUUAUAUGUCAAGAAAAUGACGGUAGCAUAUGAAUAAGCACCGGCUAACUCCGUGCCAGCAGCCGCGGUAAUAGCGGAGGGUGCAAGCGUUACUCGGAAUCACUGGGCGUAAAGGACGCGUAGGCGGGUUGGAAAGUCAGGUGUGAAAUCCUACAGCUUAACUGUAGAGCUGCACUUGAAACUUCUAAUCUAGAGUAUGGGAGGGGGAGAUGGAAUUAGUGGUGUAGGGGUAAAAUCCGUAGAUAUCACUAGGAAUACCUAAAGCGAAGGCGAUCUCCUGGAACAUUACUGACGCUAAGGCGUGAAAGCGUGGGGAGCAAACAGGAUUAGAUACCCGCGUAGUC